rnacentral:rRNA from 1 species
UACGUAGGUGGCAAGCGUUGUCCGGAAUUAUUGGGCGUAAAGCGCGCGCAGGCGGUUCUUUAAGUCUGAUGUGAAAGCCCACGGCUCAACCGUGGAGGGUCAUUGGAAACUGGAGAACUUGAGUACAGAAGAGGAAAGCGGAAUUCCACGUGUAGCGGUGAAAUGCGUAGAGAUGUGGAGGAACACCAGUGGCGAAGGCGGCUCACUGGCCCGGUACUGACGCUGAGGUGCGAAAGCGUGGGGAGCAAACAGG